rnacentral:ncRNA from 1 species
AUAACAACAUUGACAAGAAAAGUAGAUGGAUGAAAGUUUUACAGAGAGACUGUCGUUGGUGCAAGCAGUUAAAUGGCAAUUCAUUGAAAAUGGUCUUCGAGUUGGCUCUUCGAUAUUUAGGUGAGUCCGGGUUCGCCCGUUAAAGCGAGCGAGUAUGAUAGUACUCAUUGAGGUAUUAAUCGUGAGAUUAAUAUAAAUUAAGGUGGUAACACGAGUGAUCUCGUCCUUUUU